AGCGAACGCUGGCGGCAGGCCUAACACAUGCAAGUCGAACGGACCCUUCGGGGUUAGUGGCGGACGGGUGAGUAACACGUGGGAACGGUCCUUUAUGUUCGGAAUAGUACCUGUAAACGGGGGGUAAUGCCGGAUGAGCCCUGCGGGUACAAGAUUUAUCGUAUUUAGGGCGGCGCGCGUCCGACUGACUAGUUGGUGAGGUAACAGCUCACCAAGGCGACGCUCAGUAGCUGGGCUCAGAGGCUGACCAGCCACACUGGGAAUGAGACACGGCCCAGAAUCCUACGGGAGGCAGCAGUGGGGAAUCCUGCGCAAUGGGCGAAAGCCAGACGGAGCUAUGCUGCGUGAAUGAUUAAGGUCUGAGGAUUGUACAAUUCUUUCAUCGGGGACGAUAAUGACGGUACCCGGAGAAGAAGCCCCGGCUAACUUCGUG
rnacentral:rRNA from 1 species